rnacentral:tRNA from 1 species
UGAGCUCAGUGGUCAGAGUGUCAGUCUGCACACUGAAAGUCUCAGGUUCAAUUUCUGGUCAA